AACGAACGCUGGCGGCAUGCCUAACACAUGCAAGUCGAACGGCAACACCGUGAUUGUUUGCUCUUCUGGGUGGCCGGUGGCGGAAGGGACACGUAUGUAUCGGACUCUUCUCUUUCGUGUGGGUUAACGUAAGUAAACUUACUCCCAUACCGCAUAUGCCCCUCGGGUGUAAGCAGGGGAUCUUUUGACCUGGCGGGAGUGUAUGGGCCGGUGGUUUAUUUGCUCGUUGGCUGGGUAGUGGCCUACCGAGUCUCCGAUGGGUAGCCGGCCUGAGAGGGUGGCCGGCGACAUGGGGACUGAGAUACGGCCCAGACGAGUACGGGAGGCAGCAGUGGGGAAGAUUGUACAGUGGGCGGAAGCCUGAUGAAGCAAAGCCGCGUGCGGGAAGACGGCCUGCGGGUUGUAAAAUGCAGUCGCUUGUGACGAAGCGUUAGUGACGGUACUGGGUAAAGAAGCACCGGCUAACUACGUG
rnacentral:rRNA from 1 species